rnacentral:misc_RNA from 1 species
GAUGAAGAACGUAGCGAAAUGCGAUAAGUAAUGUGAAUUGCAGAAUUCAGUGAAUCAUCGAAUCUUUGAACGCAAAUUGCGCCCCUUGGUAUUCCGAGGGGCAUGCCUGUUCGAGCGUCAUUAUCACCCCUCAAGCUUUGCUUGGUGUUGGGGCCUGCUGUAAUAGGCAGCCCUUAAAAUCAGUGGCGGUGCUUCAAGGCUCUAAGCGUAGUAAUUCUCCUCGCUAUAGUGUCUAGUGGUUGCCAGCCAGAACCCCCCAAUUUUCAUGAUUGACCUCGGAUCAGGUAGGGAUACCCGCUGAACUUAAGCAUAUCAAUAAGCGGAGGA